ensembl:lncRNA
AUUAUAUGACCCCUGACAUCAGCAUAAUAUUGUCUAUAAGCUCAAGCGAAUGUAUUUUGGUUAUUUCGUUUCUCUAGAGUGUAUGAUUCCCAGCGUGUCCCAGCCUCCUUGUCUCCUGUGCCACUGAGGACCAGUCCAGUCAAACGUCCGCGAUCCUCCUGCUACUCCUCCAAACACAGACGGACAGAAGCCACUCCAAAAGCUCCAGACUCUACUCUUCAAGUUCAAACACAGCCAAAUUGGGCAUGGAGGAACUGCAGGUGAUAAAGAAGGAGCUGACUCUGAUAAAGACACAGAUCGAUGGGCUGCUCGACAGCAUCGACAAGAUGGACACACACAAGACUGAGCAGAAAGGGUCUCCAAGGAAGGAGGACAGUCCAGCUGGCUCCGUGUACUCUCCAUCGGCCAGCAGCCCUGAACUCUCCCGCUCCUCACUGUCGCCUCCCUACCACCACCAUAUCCGCAAGGAGAGCCCUGAGCAGGAGACAGAUGAUUACCACACAAUUUUCCAGACAAGCAAUCACAACUCUGAGGAGGAAAUAUGAAAAUUAAAUAAAAGAGCCUGUAGAGUGGACAUGGAACAAGUGCCAAACGAGGACGAGAACUAAGAAGAACUAAGAGAAUCAAAGCAAUGGCCAUAUUUCUCACUAAACAAUGAAUAAACAUUUCUUAGACAUCACAUUUUGACUGUAAACCUGAACAAUUACAUCUUAGUUGUUUCUGAACAUUACAAUGUGUCAUUAAAUUGACAAGGUAUUCAGGAAGUCUUGACAAACAAGGAUCAUUUUACAGAACAGUCUAAGUCGCACGCAACACUCACAGAAAAUGUCUUGUUAAUGAAAAGUAGUUUUGUCUUGUGAGCACCGGUGUAAAGUUUGUAAAUUGCAGGACAAAAUGUAUAGAAUGUUAAUGCCCUGGGGCAAUGUUACCUUUAAAGUUCACUCGGUGAGCAGGUGGUCUGGCUAGAUCACUACACAAUUAAUGAUUAACAAAUGAGGCAACUUUGAAAAAAGUAAAAAAAAAAUAUAUAUAAAGAUAUAUAUCUGCAACUAAUACUGUACAUCAGUCUAGUCUUUCAACAAAACACCCUCAUCAACAAUUCCAACACACCCAGCCAAGAAACUAUUAGUUACAUAACAUUUAGCACUAGUAAAAUGCAAGCCUAACUGGUUUGCAAAGAAUCAUAGCAUGCUUCUUUCUUUGUUUUGAACAUUGUGUGCACACACUCCAACUGUUGUAAAAUUAUCAAACUGGAUGUAAGAAAAAAGUUGUAGACAAUAUCCUGGAUGUCUAAUGCAGGAGAAGUUUAUUACCAUCAAUACAGGCCUGGAGACAACUGAACAGUUAACGUAUGGACAUUGAAUAUCCAUGUCUGAUCAUUCUUCCACAAGAAGAGUUCAAAAUAUGAUGAGCCUCGUCUCCAGUCUCGUGCAAUGUUAUGUGAAGGGUAUGUUAAGGAGGACCCAUCACGGAGACAACAUUACGCCAAGAGAGAAUCAGUCUGUAAGUUAAGGACAAAUUGUCUCAAAUCUAUAAAAACUACUCAGUUGUCAGUAAGGCUCCAGUGAGACAGUAUAAUGCCAAGAGAGGACUGGUAUGUAAGUUAAGGACAAAUUCUCUAACACCAAUGAUCUCAUAAAAAGUUCUAAUUUAGCAACGCAUUCUUGUAAAGCUAGAAUGGUUAGAAUUAACUUUUAAGGAUAUGAAUGAUUGAACUGAUUGUUGACUGCCAUCAAAAGGAAUAGUGCAAGGCCCAAGCCAUUGUGUAAUAAUGUGCAUUAAUUGUCUGAUUUAGGACUACUUUGAGUUUUAUGUUGAGUUGAUGUUAUUAAAGGUGUUCAAUGUUUACGUUUGUAAUUUAGACAAACCAAGUGAAAAG